rnacentral:rRNA from 1 species
CCCUUAGAUGUCCGGGGCUGCACGCGCGCUACACUGAAGGAAUCAGCGUGCUAAAACCAUUGUCGAAAGGCAUUGGUAAACCCAUUAAAAUCCUACGUGAUUGGGAUCGGGAAUUGCAAUUAUUUCCCUUGAACGAGGAAUUCCCAGUAAGUGUGGGUCAUAAGCUCGCGUUGAUUACGUCCCUGCCCUUUGUACACACCGCCCGUCGCUGCCCGGGACUGAGCCGUUUCGAGAAAAGCGGGGACUGCUGCUGUCGGGGCUUUCGGGCCUUGGCUUCUGUGGAAACCGCUUUAAUCGCAGUGGCUUGAACCGGGCAAAAGUCGUAACA